UCCCACAUACACACCCACACUGCCUCCCAUAAUCCCUAGAAAACGUCCUUCCAUUCCACCGCCUUCCCCCUUUAUUUCUCUGUCCCUCUCUUCUCAAGCUCCACCACCAUUACCAGUUUACCACCACCCACAAAAAUCUCCAAAACCCCGAAUCCCAGAAAAUUUUUACAGAUUCAUCUUACUUCCAAAUUUGCUCCAAUUCUUCUUGUUCGUACUCCCAAUCUGAAGAUUAGGAUCAAUCCCAACGAAAUUACGAGUCUUACAAUCACAACCCUCAAGAAACCUCAACUAAUUAUGAUGGGUUGCACUAGCAGAAGUGAUGGAAUGAGGAUGGCAACCGGUGGGAGAAAGAAGAAAUCAUGUGGGUGAUUUUGUUGUCUGACUCGCGAGUUGACUCGGCCAAACUCGGACUGGGAGAUUGUAGCAGCUUCAGAAAAGCUGGCGGAGUGCCAAGAAACUAUCUUAAACUGGGAGAUUGUAGGAAUGGGAAGUAGUUAAAGGCAUUGGUUUCACCCAUAAAGGCUGCUCUUUUUGUUAAGGCCCUUUUUGAUAAACUAUCCUGUUGUUGCCACCAUGACAACUUCUGAGAAUAAAACUCGCCAGCGGUCAUCUCUUCUAAAUAAAAUGCUAGCUGAAGACAAAUAUGAGACCAAGGAUCUCAAGCCUCCUAAAACCAAGGAAAUUAUUCUAGAGCGUAAUAGCUAUUCCACCUUUGGCCCGAA